rnacentral:lncRNA from 1 species
GCUGUAGCUAAGAUCAGUCCACUGCAGCAGGAGUUUCAAGAACAGCAGCACAAAAAUAAUGACUUAACUGGAUAGAAAAAAAGGCACAUAUUUUCAGGAAGGCCUCUUUAUUCUUAGAAGUUACCCUUCAAGAUGACAAGUGGUGCAAACUCUUCAGGAUCUUACCUGCCCUCAGAAAUAAGAAGUUCUAAAAUAGAUGACAACUACUUGAAGGAAUUGAAUGAGGACUUAAAGCUAAGGAAGCAGGAACUGCUAGAGAUGCUCAAACCUCUAGAAGAUAAAAACAACCUCUUAUUUCAAAAGUUAAUGUCUAACUUGGAGGAAAAACAAAGGAGUCUUCAGAUCAUGAGACAGAUCAUGGCAGGGAAGGGGUGUGAGGAAUCCUCGGUCAUGGAGCUCCUUAAGGAAGCAGAGGAGAUGAAACAGAACUUGGAAAGGAAAAACAAGAUGCUUCGGAAGGAAAUGGAGAUGCUAUGGAACAAGACAUUCGAGGCAGAAGAACUUAGUGAUCAACAAAAAGCACCACAGACAAAAAACAAGGCAGACUUGCAGGAUGGAAAGAGGCUCUUUCUUCCACCAGGAAAAGCAACAGAGGAAAAUGGAAUGGGUCAAGUAUCAGGAACAAAAUAACAUCCUUCAGAAUGAUUUUCAUGGCAAAGUGAUUGAGCUGAGAAUUGAAGCCUUGAAGAACUACCAGAAGGCCAAUGACCUGAAAUUAUCACUGUAUUUGCAGCAGAAUUUUGAGCCAAUGCAAGCAUUUUUAAAUCUUCCUGGGUCCCAAGCAUUUCCUUGAGCUCUUCUGAGAAAAACCUGAACGUUGGAUGUACUAUGGGCAUUACAACUAUGGACAGAGUGACUACUGGCAGAAAUGAACACCAUGUGAGAAUUCUGGGAACAAAGAUCUACACAGAACAACAAGGAACUAAAGGAAGUCAGCUUGAUAAUACAGGAGGGAGACUCUUUUUUCUGAGGUCAUUGCCAGAUGAAGCACUGAAGAAUUAGCAGGCUUUCGCUCCAUUUGCUUUGGACAGAUUUAAAGACUAGGCACAGCCAUUUGUGUUAAUUAAAAUCUCUCGCACCUUU